CCUACGGGAGGCUGCAGUGGGGAAUAUUGCACAAUGGGGGAAACCCUGAUGCAGCGACGCCGCGUGAGUGAAGAAGUAUUUCGGUAUGUAAAGCUCUAUCAGCAGGGAAGAAAUAAAGUCCUUCGGACUUUGGACGGUACCUGACUAAGAAGCCCCGGCUAACUACGUGCCAGCAGCCGCGGUAAUACGUAGGGGGCAAGCGUUAUCCGGAUUUACUGGGUGUAAAGGGAGCGUAGACGGCAGCGCAAGUCUGGAGUGAAAUCCCAUGGCUUAACCAUUGAACUGCUUUGGAAACUGUGCAGCUGGAGUGCAGGAGAGGUAAGCGGAAUUCCAAGUGUAGCGGUGAAAUGCGUAGAUAUGAGGAGGAACACCAGUGGCGAAGGCGGCUUACUGGACUGUAACUGACGUUGAGGCUCGAAAGCGUGGGGAGCAAACAGGAUUAGAUACCCGGGUAGUC
rnacentral:rRNA from 1 species